CAGUAGCCUAUAAGCUAUAAUUAGGGGCAGAAAGCUAGAACCCAGAUGAGAUUUUUGCCAAAAAAGUAGUGAAGAAAGAACUUUUGUACCAUUAGGGGCAGAAAUCUGUUCUUAUUUAUUGUUACUUGUGUAUGGUACACAGGGCAUCAAAGUUAGAAACCAAAACAAGAAAUCAGAUGAGAACUUUAUGCUAAUUUCGCCAAGCAGAUCCACAGUUGAGAA